rnacentral:snRNA from 1 species
GGAUGUGAGGACGAUCUGGCUGCAACAUCUGUCACCCCAUUGAUCGCCCGGGUUGAUUCGGCUGAUCUGGCUGGCUAGGCGGGUGGCCCCUUCCUCCCUCAGCGCUUCAUGUGCGUCCCUCCCGAAGCUGCAUGCUCAGUCGAAGAGGACAACCACCCCCGAUAGAGGAGGACCGUUCCUCGGUCAAGGGUAUACGAGUAGCUGCUCUCCUCUGCUAGAACCUCCAAACAAGCUCCCGAGACUGAACCCAGAGCCUUCACACUGAACCACGUCACCAAUCCCUUUAAGUUUUCAUU